rnacentral:rRNA from 1 species
CAGUAGCCGCGGGAAUACGUAGGUGGCAAGCGUUGUCCGGAAUUAUUGGGCGUAAAGGGCUCGCAGGCGGUUUCUUAAGUCUGAUGUGAAAGCCCCCGGCUCAACCGGGGAGGGUCAUUGGAAACUGGGAAACUUGAGUGCAGAAGAGGAGAGUGGAAUUCCACGUGUAGCGGUGAAAUGCGUAGAGAUGUGGAGGAACACCAGUGGCGAAGGCGACUCUCUGGUCUGUAACUGACGCUGAGGAGCGAAAGCGUGGGGAGCGAACAGGAUUAGAGACCCCUGUAGUCCCUGUCUCUUAUAC